rnacentral:rRNA from 1 species
ACGGGAGGCAGCAGUGAGGAAUAUUGGUCAAUGGGCGGAAGCCUGAACCAGCCAAGUCGCGUGAAGGAUGAAGGUAUUAUGUAUUGUAAACUUCUUUAGCUGUGGAGCAAUAAUCUCCAUGUAUGGAGAGAUGAGAGUACACAGAGAAUAAGGAUCGGCUAACUCCGUGCCAGCAGCCGCGGUAAUACGGAGGAUCCGAGCGUUAUCCGGAUUUAUUGGGUUUAAAGGGUGCGCAGGCGGGCUGCUAAGUCUCCGGUGAAAUGUCAGGGCUCAACCUUGGCACUGCCGGAGAUACUGGCGGCCUUGAGAGUGGCGGAGGUAUCCGGAAUGUGUGGUGUAGCGGUGAAAUGCAUAGAUAUCACACAGAACACCGAUUGCGAAGGCAGGAUACCAUACCAUAUCUGACGCUCAGGCACGAAAGCGUGGGGAUCGAACAGGAUUAGAUACCCUGGUA